rnacentral:misc_RNA from 1 species
GAAAUGCGAUACGCAAUGCGAAUUGCAGAACCGUGAGUCAUCAGAUUUUUGAACGCAAGUGGCGGUGGCCUAGGCCAUCAUGUUUGUUUCAGUGUGUUCGGUUAAUUACAUCAAAGAACUAAAUGUGAUUGAAGCAAUUCUCUCACUUAGUACGAAGUAAUGUCAGCCCGAGCAUUAGGCGAAUCAGUCACUAACAUGGUGAUAAUCGUUUAAGUGCGAACAGCUGUAGAAUCUUUACUUGAAAAACCAUUAUCCAAUCAUAACACCUGAAAUAAGCAAGAUUACCCGCUGAACUUAA